CCCGGGCCUUGUACACACCGCCCGUCACACCAUGGGAGUGGGUUGCAAAAGAAGUAGCUAGGCUAACCUUCGGGAGGCCGGUUACCACUUUGUGAUUCAUGACUGGGGUGAAGUCGUAACAAGGUAGCCCUAGGGGAACCUGGGGCUGGAUCACCUCCUUA
rnacentral:rRNA from 1 species